rnacentral:rRNA from 1 species
AACGAACGCUGGCGGCAGGCUUAACACAUGCAAGUCGAACGGUUGUAGCAAUACAGCAGUGGCAGACGGGUGAGUAACACGUGGGAACCUUCCUAGGGGUACGGAACAACUCAGGGAAACUUGAGCUAAUACCGUAUACGUCCGUGAGGAGAAAGAUUUAUCGCCCUUAGACGGGCCCGCGUCGGAUUAGGUAGUUGGUGGGGUAACGGCCUACCAAGCCUACGAUCCGUAGCUGAUCUUAGAGGAUGAUCAGCCACACUGGGACUGAGACACGGCCCAGACUCCUACGGGAGGCAGCAGUGGGGAAUCUUGGACAAUGGGCGCAAGCCUGAUCCAGCCAUGCCGCGUGAGUGAAGAAGGUCUUCGGAUUGUAAAGCUCUUUUACCAGGGACGAUAAUGACGGUACCUGGAGAAUAAGCCCCGGCAAACUUCGUGCCAGCCGCCGCAGUAAUAC